rfam:Herbinix sp. SD1D isolate SD1D genome assembly, chromosome: I
GAAAGCCGUAUGCGGGAAAACCGCACGUACGGUUUGAUGAGGGGACGGUGGUAACCCCACUGUUCUACUCUAU